rnacentral:lncRNA from 1 species
CUCGAGUCUACCAGAUACAAGUGCACGCUUGUGACGUUUGGCUUGUGGUAUGAUUUGCCUGUUUUCAGACAUCUUAUGCAUGUGUUUUUUUUUCUGCAACUGAUCUUGAAUGUCCUGGUGAAUACAACUGCAUGAGUUAUCUUACUAGAGGGAGAUGCAGGACAAUCAUGAAUGUAUUGAUGAUGUAGUCUAAAUCAGGGCUCUCCAACCCUGUUCCUGGAGAGUUACUGUCCACUGGGUUUCUAUCCAACCCUGUUCCCGGAGAGCUACUGUCCACUGGGUUUCUCUCCAACUCUGUUCCUGGAGAGCUACUGUCCACUGGGUUUCUCUCCAACUCUGUUCCUGGAGAGCUACUGUCCAGUGGGUUUCUCUCCAACCCUGUUCCUGAAGAGCUACUGUCCACUGGGUUUCUCUCCAACUCUGUUCCUGGAGAGCUACUGUCCAGUGGGUUUCUCUCCAACCCUGUUCCUGAAGAGCUACUGUCCACUGGGUUUCUCUCCAACCCUGUUCCUGAAGAGCUACUGUCCAGUGGGUUUCUCUCCAAACCUGUUCCUGGAGAGCUACUGUCCACUGGGCUUCUCUCCAACCCUGUUCCUGGAGAGCUACUGUCCAGUGGGUUUCUCUCCAACCCUGUUCCUGGAGAGCUACUGUCCACUGGGUUUCUCUCCAACCCUGUUCCUGGAGAGCUACUCUCCACUGGGUUUCUAUCCAACCCUGUUCCCGGAGAGCUACUGUCCACUGGGUUUCUCUCCAACCCUGUUCCCGGAGAGCUACUGUCCACUGGGUAUCUCUCCAACCCUGUUCCUGGAGUGCUACUCUCCAGUGGGUUUCUCUCCAACCCUGUUCCUGAAGAGCUACUGUCCAGUGGGUUUCUCUCCAACCCUGUUCCUGGAGAGCUACUGUCCACUGGGCUUCUCUCCAACCCUGUUCCUGGAGAGCUACUGUCCAGUGGGUUUCUCUCCAACCCUGUUCCUGGAGAGCUACUGUCCAGCGGGUUUCUCUCCAACCCUGUUCCUGAAGAGCUACUGUCCACUGGGUAUCUCUCCAACCCUGUUCCUGGAGUGCUACUCUCCAGUGGGUUUCUCUCCAACCCUGUUCCUGGAGAGCUACUCUCCAGUGGGUUUCUCUCCAACCCUGUUCCUGGAGAGCUACUCUCCAGUGGGUUUCUCUGCAACCCUGUUCCUGGAGAGCUACUCUCCAGUGGGUUUCUCUGCAACCCUGUUCCUGGAGAGCUACUGUCCAGUAGGUUUCUCUGCAACCCUAAUCUAGUACACGUGAUCCUAAUAAUUAUCUGGUUGAUAAGGGGAAUCCAGUUAGGUUCCCACAAACCCGUUUUAACUAUCGGAGGGUAGCUCUUCAGGAGCAGAGUUGGAGAACCCUGGUCUGAAUUAAUUUGCGUUCUAUUCGGGCUUUUGUCCAGUUUUGUAGUUCAGAUUAAGCACUAUAUGUGUAUUUAGCCAACACAACCAUGCAAUUUGCUCUUUUAUAUUUCUUUCCUUUUAAGUAUUUUAUGUUAUCUAUUGUUGACUGUAGUUAACACAGAAGUUAGCCUCUGGUUAGCACCAACCCAGUGAAACUACAGGAUAGAACAGAAAUCAAAUAAUCUCAUUGGUUUCAUCUUAAAUUGCACCCUACCUAUUCCCUAUAUAGUAGGCCUCUGGUCAAAAGUAGUGCACUAUGUAGGGAAUAUGGUGACGUGAACUGUGUAGUAAUACUGUACCAGCAAUCAAAUAAUCAUGUCUGUGUAGAAAUGCUCUACCACAAGACUUUUCAAAACACUGACAAAUAUCUUGUCUUGUGAUUAACUAUAGCUUUGGAGCAAAUAUUUAGCGAACACACAAUUCAUAUAUCUUGAAACUAUAGAAACACUGCGAUGUUUGUCUCCUGUUUGAGAGGUCAUUUGUCGACUAACUCUAUUUAUUUUGUAUAGCUGUGCUCUUGGGUAUGCAUAACUGAGGAACCUUGAAAGAUGGGAGAAAAUGUUCCACUCCUUACUAGAAAAUAAAGGUGCUAUGUGGCAA